CGUGUAGGCGGCUUUGCAAGUCAGAAGUGAAAACCACCGGCUUAACCGGAUGGCCUGCUUUUGAAACUGCAAGACUUGAGUACGGAAGAGGAGAGCGGAAUUCCUGGUGUAGCGGUGAAAUGCGUAGAUAUCAGGAAGAACACCGGUGGCGAAGGCGGCUCUCUGGUCCAGUACUGACGCUGAGGCGCGAAAGCCAGGGGAGCGAACAGGAUUAGAUACCCUGGUAGUCC
rnacentral:rRNA from 1 species